CCGGGGCCUCCCCGCGGUGCUGCGCUGCCGGGCGGCAGCUGCGGCUCCUCCGUUCCCCGUGCCCGCCUCGCCGGGGCUGCGGGUGCUGUGCCGGCCGCACCGCUCGGGACCCGCGGCCGGGAGAGGAGUCAGGGCGGCUCUCACGGGGCAGCCGGAGGCGCUCCGUGGUGCCCCGUGGUGCUGGCGAUGCCCCGAGCCGCCGCGCUCGGUCCUGGUCUCGCUGUCCUGGCGCUCCACGCCUGCCCAGCCCCGGAGCUGCUGCUUCUGUCAGGAGCUGGGAGCUGGACUCGGGGUGACACACGUUACCAAACCCGACGUGACUGCUUGUUCGGACACCACCUUUCUGCACCUGGAACACCUGCCCGUGGAUUCCUUACACCUGUGUCACACGCUUGUCACACAUCUGUUCCUAAUCUCUCCCGCAGGACUGGGUGCUGUCGAACCUCUCCAAGGAGCUCGGAGAAUAAAAGAGAGAAAACCGUCUUGUGCAAACCCAGCCAGGUUUGGAUUCCCUUCGGCAGAGCAGAGCAUGUUGAGGUGCAGCCAGUGGUAUCGGUGGCUCGCCUGGUGUCGGUGCCGAGGAAUCCCCAUAGCACUGCGAGAUCACUUCCAUGGCUUCCCGGGAUCGCCACAGCCCUAGGGUCCGGCUGCAGCACGACGGGGCGGAGUGCCCGUCCCGACAGCAGAGGGCCGGCGAGGCACGGCCGCGGGCAGGGCCCCCUCGAGUUGUGCUGAGUUCGCUCUAAACUCAUCAGUCCCGUGACACUUGCAUUUUAAUUUGCGUUUGAAGUGGAAAUAGUUUUUAGGGAGAACUCUAGCGACAGAAAAGUCGCUUCCCAGGCGCAGCUUUUGCUCGCUGGGUAUCACCUUCCACAGCAGAUGCUCCUGGUGGGCUGGAGAGCAGCCAAGGGGCUGCCCCGGCAUGCAGGUCUGCCUGCUGCAAGCUCUGUCCGACAUGCUUCACCAUCCCUUUCAAGGCUGGGGGCUUGAAAGGGGUCAGUUCUGUUCAGAGAACCAGGCAGGCCUCAGUAACCUCUUCUGAAUGUUUUGAGAAACUGUCACACUUUUAACUGAUGUCACCCUUGGGAAGUUGUAUCAGCUGCCUUGGGAAGAAAACCUGAAACCCGAGGGAAUGCUGAAAUGAAUGUCACCUGUUUACUCACUGACCUGAAUUGGAAACACCUCACUUCUUGGCAGUGCCAAGAAGUGUAUUCCUUAUCCUAAACUCAUUUUCAGUCAGAAAAGACACAAGGUGAUGGGUUGGUUUUGUUUGGGUUCUUUUGAGGUGAGAUUUAACAAGAGUUUGCCAUUCCUUCAGAACUGAGUGGUGUGGACAGACCUAAUGAUAACGUGUGUUAACUUAUCUAAUGUGGGUUAUAGGUAACACUGGAGUAAUUAAUUAAUCCUGCUAUAUUCAAAGACACGCUUCGGAGUUUUGUUUUACGCAAAAAUCCUCUUAUGUCCCAACUGUCAGUAAGAAAAUUAUCUUCCACUAUAAGUUUUGCUGAAUUACAGGAAAAUUAAUCAAAUCUGUAAGACUUCUUGCUUAAAUCCUGAUAAAAGCACAGGUGGUAACACCUGUUGGAGCCAUGGCUUGACGUUGUUUAAGCAGGAGGCAAUUAGUUCACCAGGCUGAUGCUGCCGGAGUUCUGCCAGCACAGUGUAAGUGAGACCAGAUGUAGAAUCUUUAAUUGUUGGUAUUCAGUGCCUAGAGAGUAAUUCCCGGGGAGGCUUUUUCCAUGGUCACUUCCAAGUUCUUGAGGCCAGACCUGAGCUUCCCUUCACUGAGACCAAACUUGUUCUUGUGCACUUUUCUGGGGACUGCUGCCAGGUGCCGGUGAUGGCUGCUUAGAGCUUGGACAUAACUCCAGAGCUCUCCCAGGAGGAACACUGUCAGGACUGGUUUUCCUCCUCUUGUAUUGUAUUUAUUCACACCAAGCCUCAUCUGUCACUUUUCCUGCAAUUUUCCACUACUGUGAGGCUUCCCCCUGCCAGUGUCACCUCGUGGCUCGCUGCCUCCUCCAAAUGGCGCACGGACGAGAUCUGGCACAGCCGCAGGCAGAGCUGGUAUUUGCUGUCAGUGAUUCAGGCAGAACGUUCCCAUGGCAGAGGGGGGAGCUGCAGGCAGAGUCAGUUGUGGUGACAGCCCCGUGAUUCAGUUGCACAAGUCAGGCUGUCACGAUUGUCCCUGGGAUUCACAUCCCCACCCAGCUCCUCUGCUCGUGCCGCACAGUGGCUGUGUCCGGCAGCAGGGCUGGGAGGUGUCAGCGGCAAGGACCCCGCCAGAGAGAGCCAGCCCAUGCCAGGGGAUCCCAGCUGGUCCAGCAUGGCCAAGCACACAGCACAACUGCGGAGCAGCUGCCACACACUCGUGUGUUAGCACAGCUCCUCACUGUAGGUUUUGCAAAAUAUUUAUUGCAAAAUAAAGAAAUAUGGCAACAAAACUUAAAUAGCAAAUGACACAACACUGUGUGGCCAUAAAGCUCUUGCUGUAUUAUGAAUCUUUUACAAUAAACAAUAGUAAAGUGUGUCCCAGGGCAGCUGCACAUGGACAGCCCAUGUCACUGGCUCCAGCCAUCUGUGAUCUGUGACUUGUGCCUCCUGCUUGCACCUGUAACCGGCCCAAUCCCCCUAAAGCUGACAGGAGCCAGCACCUUCCAUGCUCUGUGAAAUGUGCCAUGCCAUACCCCAGGCCCUUCUCUCCUUUUUCCUUUUAAAGCUGCCACAGCUGACCCAGUGCCCUUCCCUUCCAUAAGGUAGCAGGCAAUGGAGGGACAUUGCUGAAGUACCUCCUGCUCCCCUUUGAGUCACAGCUUGUCCUGUGAGAGGUUGCUUGGAUUUCUUUCCUUUCUCACCUACUAGGAAAGGACAGGCAGCCAGGAAGGAGUACAGAAAUAUUGUGAGCAGCCAGGGAUCAGGUUAGGAAUGCUAAAACCCUAAAGAAUUAAAUCUGGCCGGGAUGUCAAGGGCAACAAGCAAAGCCUCUGUAGGUACAUCGGUGAUAAAAGGAAGACUUGGGAGAAUGUGGACCCUCUCUGGAAGGAAAUGGGAAACCCGGUUACCUGGGACAUGGAGAAGGCUGAGGUACUCAGCCAUGUUUCUGACUCAGCCUUCAUGGCAAUUUGCUCCAGUCACACUGCCCAAGCUGCAGGAGGCAAAGGCAGAGAGUGGGAGAACAAAGAACCACCCACAGGAGGAGAGGAUUGGGGUCAAGAAGGUCUAAGGGACCUGAAGGUGCACAAGUCCCUGGGACCUGACGAGAUGCACCCACGGGUUCAUAGGGACUGUUGGAGGAAGUGGCUUGGCCACUAUCCAUCAGAUUUGAGAAGCUGUGGCAGUCCAGAGACAUUCCCACUGAUGCCAAAAGGGGAAACAAUCCCCCUUUUUUAGAAAGAGGAAUAA